ACUCAAAUGAAUUGACGGGGACCCGCACAAGCGGUGGAGCGUGUUGUUUAAUUCGAUGGUAAGCGAAGAACCUUACCAAGGCUUGAAAUCCUGAGAAGCACUGCGAAAGCAGAGUGUGCCUUCGGGAACUCAGUGACAGGUGUUGCAUGGCCGUCGUCAGCUCGUGUCGUGAGAUGUUGGGUUAAGUCCCGCAACGAGCGCAACCCCUAUGUUUAGUUGAAUUUCUCUAAACAGACUGCCCUGGUAACAGGGAGGAAGGAGGGGAUGAUGUCAGGUCAGUAUUACCCUUACGCCUUGGGCUACAAACACGCUACAAUGGCCGGUACAAAGGGCAGCCAAGUCGCAAGACGGAGCAAAUCCCAUCAAAACCGGUCUCAGUUCGGAUAGCAGGCUGAAACUCGCCUGCUUGAAGCUGGAAUCGCUAGUAAUGGUAAGUCAGCACAUUACCGUGAAUACGUUCCCGGGUCUUGUACACACCGCCCGU
rnacentral:rRNA from 1 species